UCAAGCUACAAGGGUGUAUGGUGAAUGCCUUGGUGCCAGAAGUCGAUGAAAGACGUGAUAAGCUGCGAUAAGCUGCGGGUAGGAGCAAAUAUCCUGUGAUCCGCAGAUUUCUGAAUGGGGGAACCCUUACAGGUGAGAGCCUGUAAAUCAUCACAAGAAGGCUGAGUCUACGGACUCGGAGAUAGGGUGAUAGAAGACAACGUAGGGAAGUGAAACAUCUCAGUACCUACAGGAAAAGAAAUCAAAGAGAUUCCCUGAGUAGUGGCGAGCGAAAUGGGAAUAGCCUAAACCAGCCCCCGCACUGUAUAUAUCCGUGGAGGGUAUAUAGAGUGCGUGGGUUGGGGUUGCAGGGCUUGCUCGUGUUAGACACAAAGAGUUACCAAGCAAUCAGAUAGUUGAACGGUCUGGAAAGUCCGACCAAAGAGGGUGAUAGUCCUUUAAACGAAAUCUGAUUGUCUCUUAGCAAGUACCUAAGUACCACUGGUCACGUGCAAUCCGGUGGGAAUCCGGGGAGACCACUCUCCAAGGCUAAAUACUCUCUGGCAACCGAUAGUGAACCAGUACCGCGAGGGAAAGGCGAAAAGAACCCCGAGAGGGGAGUGAAAUAGAACCUGAAACCGUACAUCUACAAGCUAUUGUAGCACUAUGCCCGCAAGGGAAUGUGCGACAGUGUGCCUGUUGAAGAAUGAUCCAGCGAGUUAAUGUGCCGAGCGAGGUUAAGGGCUGAAGAGGUCCGAAGCCGUAGUGAAAGCGAGCUCGAAUAGAGCGAAUAGUUCGUCAUAUUAGACCCGAAGCCAAGUGAUCUAACCCUGUCCAGGCUGAAGUUCGCGUAACAGUGAAUGGAGGGCCGGAGUGUUAAACGUUAAAAAGUUUCUACAUGAGGUGGGGUUAGGGGUGAAAGGCCAAUCGAACUUGGUGAUAGCUGGUUCUCCCCGAAAUAGCUUUAGGGCUAGCGUUGAGAUUUAACCCGAGGGGGUAAAGCACUGGUAGAUUUAGGGGGAGCGACCCUCCUUCCGAUGUCUGUCAAACUCUGAAUACCUCGGCGGAUAUCUCAGCAGUCAGUUCGUGAGGGAUAAGCUUCACGUGCGAGAGGGAAACAGCCCAGACCGUCAAUUUAGGUCCCAAAAUGUAUGCUAAGUGGUAAAGGAUGUGGAUUUACUUAAACAGCUAGGAGGUUGGCUUAGAAGCAGCCACCCUUUGAAGAGUGCGUAAUAGCUCACUAGUCGAGUGAAUCUGCGCCGAAGAUGACUCGGGGCUAAGCAUACUACCGAAAUUACGGAUUGCAUAGAAGUUCGCUUUUAUGCAGUGGUAGGGGAGCGUUAUUAGCAGCUGCGAAGGUAUACCGUAAGGAGUGCUGGAGCGCUAAUAAGUGAGAAUGCUGGAAUGAGUAGCGAUAAGGAAGGUGAGAAUCCUUCCCGCCGAAAAUCUAAGGUUUCCUUGAGCAACGUUCGUCGGCUCAGGGUCAGUCGGGCCUAAGCUCAGGCCGAAAGGCGUAGGCGAAGGACAUCAGGUUAAUAUUCCUGAACUAUAGUAAGCGCGUCAUAACCUAGGGAGGGACGCAGUAGAGUAAACCAUCUGGCUAUAUGCCAGUUCAAGGCCGUAGGCAUCUUCGGGUAGGCAAAUCCGUCCGGAGGCUAAGCCGAAAACCGAGUACGAGUAACCGCAAGGUUGCGAAGUGGUCCAAUCACGCUGCCUAGAAAAACUUCGUAGGGAGUUCUUACUAUAACCGUACCGUAAACCGACACAGGUGGAUGGGGUGAAAAUCCUAAGGCGCGCGAGAUAACCAUCGUCAAGGAACUAGGCAAACUAGCUCCGUAACUUCGGAAGAAGGAGUGCCCGAGUACCGGUGCAGCAAUGUAUUGGGAAAGGGUCGCAGUGAAUUGGGCUUCGUGACUGUUUAACAAAAACUUAGGGCUCUGCUGAAAUCUCAAGAUGAUGUAUAGGGCCUGAUGCCUGCCCGGUGCCGGAAGGUCAAGGGGAGUGGUUAGCCGCAAGGCGAAGCUGCGAACUUAAGCCCCGGUAAACGGCGGCGGUAACUAUAACCGUCCUAAGGUAGCGAAAUUCCUUGUCGGGUAAGUUCCGACCUGCACGAAUGGCAUAACAAAGAAGCCGCUGUCUCGACGGUGGGCUCGGCGAAAUUGUGGUACCAGUGAAGACGCUUGAUGCAUGCAACAAGA
rnacentral:rRNA from 1 species